GGAGAAAUCUGGAUUAAUACCCCAUGGCACAGCACAAGGGCAUCUGCGAGCUGUUAAAGAUUCAUCGGUAUGAGAUGGGCAUGCGUCUGAUUAGCUAGUUGGCGGUGUAACGGACCACCAAGGCGACGAUCAGUAGGGGUUCUGAGAGGAAGGUCCCCCACACUGGCACUGAGAUACGGGCCAGACUCCUACGGGAGGCAGCAGUAGGGAAUAUUGGGCAAUGGUCGGAAGACUGACCCAGCCAUGCCGCGUGCAGGAAGAAGGCCUAUUGGGUUGUAAACUGCUUUUAUCUGGGAAGAAAAGGCCCGUGCGCGGGACAUUGCCGGUACCAGAUGAAUAAGCACCGGCUAACUCCGUGCCAGCAGCCGCGGUAAUACGGAGGGUGCAAGCGUUGUCCGGAUUUAUUGGGUUUAAAGGGUGCGUAGGCGGCUAUUUAAGUCAGCGGUGAAAGACUCCGGCUCAACCGGAGCAGUGCCAUUGAUACUGGAUAGCUUGAGUGUUGGAGGGGUACAUGGAAUUGAUGGUGUAGCGGUGAAAUGCAUAGAUACCAUCAGGAACACCGAUAGCGAAGGCAUUGUACUGGCCAACAACUGACGCUGAGGCACGAAAGCAUGGGGAGCGAACAGGAUUAGAUACCCUGGUAGUCCAUGCCGUAAACGAUGAUUACUCGCUGUUAUGCUGUACA
rnacentral:rRNA from 1 species